ACUGCCUCUUCUACCUCUCAUCCUCUCUUACACGCCGCCCUCGCGAGAACCACCGGCGACACAAAAUCAUGGUAUCGGAUGUUGAUAAUCAACCACAACAAGAUCAAAACCCUAUAACAACCAUUUCUCCUCUCAUAUCAAAAUCAUGGCAUCGGAUGUUGAUAAUUACCCCACUUCGUUUCACUUUUUUCUUUCCUUUUUAUUGUCGAUUUGAAAGUUUUUUUUUUUUUUUUUUCUUUUUUUUUAGAAAUAAUGGUGGUAAUGAAGCCCCUAAAAAGAUUAAGUGAGGCGGAAUUCCAAAGCAGGAUGCUGUCGGACUUGAUGCGGUACCGAUCGAUGCAUCUGUAUUGGGUAUCUUUACCAAUAUCUGUGUAUUCUUCGCCUCUGGCUCUCUCUUCCCUUCCAGGUGAUUUCUAAGAAGGGAACAAGACAAUGAAGCAUAUAUUAGGGAUCUAUGAAGCUAUGAAGAAUCAAAUAUGGUCACCGGUGGUACUGUGGUUUGUUACAAGCAGCUCAUUAAAGAUCAUUGAACAAAUAAUGGAGUGCAACUGGUGGGGUUAGCUACGCAGUAUAUGGAAUACUUAGCUCUUCAACUAUGGGGUCUGUAUUGAGAACUGCCAAUCUACUAGAAGGGUCGGAAGCAGGAACAGACCAUGGAGUCUCAUUUCUUGAUUCAAUUACAAUGCUAAGUGCUCAGAAACUUUUUCAUGGUCAAAUAUUCUUCGCCUCUUGUUCUCAUAAUCUCAUUCAUGUACCUUCAAAAAGGUUCGUCGCAAAAAAAAAAAAGGCUAUGAAGAAUCAAAUUUCGUGACUAGUGGUUAGUACUGAUGGAACAACCACUUCUAAUCAUCUUGCAGGUAGAGGUACCUUCAUCAGGCUUCACAAAAGACAUUUUCCACAAUGGCGGCAACAUGGCAGAUUUAUGGGCCAUUAAAGAAGGUUUGUUGGAAGCUUCAAGUUGUUGGGGAAUCCAUGCAUAUUAUCAGUCUUGUAAAUGGUUUCUGUAAGGUGCCCUGGUUUUUUGUUCACGCGAGGAAGGCAGAAAUUUUUUGUAUUAUUUUCCAUUUAAGCAUGAUUACAAGAAAGAUUAAAUUCCAGAAUUUUAAACUUGAUAGAUUUUAAGCAUGA